GGCCUAACACAUGCAAGUCGAGCGGUAGAGAGAAGCUUGCUUCUCUUGAGAGCGGCGGACGGGUGAGUAAUGCCUAGGAAUCUGCCUGGUAGUGGGGGAUAACGUUCGGAAACGGACGCUAAUACCGCAUACGUCCUACGGGAGAAAGCAGGGGACCUUCGGGCCUUGCGCUAUCAGAUGAGCCUAGGUCGGAUUAGCUAGUUGGUGGGGUAAUGGCUCACCAAGGCGACGAUCCGUAACUGGUCUGAGAGGAUGAUCAGUCACACUGGAACUGAGACACGGUCCAGACUCCUACGGGAGGCAGCAGUGGGGAAUAUUGGACAAUGGGCGAAAGCCUGAUCCAGCCAUGCCGCGUGUGUGAAGAAGGUCUUCGGAUUGUAAAGCACUUUAAGUUGGGAGGAAGGG
rnacentral:rRNA from 1 species